ACAUGAACAUAGGCUUGCUAAUUUAUGUGGCUGUAUCCAAAAAGCCGCUGAAACCUUGGCAUGGAAUUACAGCAGCCUCCAUGUUGCAAGGCUGGAAGCCAUUGUUAUCUCUAUCUUUGCCUAGCGUCAUCUCUGUAUGCUUGGAGUGGUGGUGGUACGAGAUAAUGCUGUUUCUUUGUGGUUUGCUCAGCAAUCCAAAGGCUAGUGUUGCAGCUACAGGCAUCCUUAUACAGACAGCUGGUCUAAUCUACUCAUUUCCAUUUUCCCUAAGUUGCAGCUUAAGCACACGAGUAGGUCACGCACUGGGCGCUGGACAACCAGCUCGUGCCCAAUGGACAGCCAUAAUUGGGAUCAUCCUGGGAUUUGCAUGCGGACUCACGGCCGCUGUUUUCACUGCA
rnacentral:misc_RNA from 1 species